GAUGAACGCUAGCUACAGGCUUAACACAUGCAAGUCGAGGGCAGCAUGAACUUUAGCUUGCUUAAGUUUGAUGGCGACCGGCGCACGGGUGAGUAACACGGUAUCCAACCUUCCGUUUUACUCAGGGAUAGCCUUUCGAAAGAAAGAUUAAUACCUGAUAGUAUGGUGAGAUUGCAUGAUAACACCAUUAAAGAUUUAUUGGUAAACGAUGGGGAUGCGUUCCAUUAGGUAGUAGGCGGGGUAACGGCCACCUAGCCUGCGAUGGAUAGGGGUUCUGAGAGGAAGGUCCCCCACAUUGGAACUGAGACACGGUCCAAACUCCUACGGGAGGCAGCAGUGAGGAAUAUUGGUCAAUGGGCGAGAGCCUGAACCAGCCAAGUAGCGUGAAGGAUGAAGGUCCUACGGAUUGUAAACUUCUUUUAUACGGGAAUAAAGUUUCCUACGUGUAGGAUUUUGUAUGUACCGUAUGAAUAAGCAUCGGCUAACUCCGUG
rnacentral:rRNA from 1 species